rnacentral:rRNA from 1 species
GACGAACGCUGGCGGCGUGCUUAACACAUGCAAGUCGAACGGAAAGGCCCUGCUUUUGUGGGGUGCUCGAGUGGCGAACGGGUGAGUAACACGUGAGUAACCUGCCCUUGACUUUGGGAUAACUUCAGGAAACUGGGGCUAAUACCGGAUAGGAGCUCCUGCUGCAUGGUGGGGGUUGGAAAGUUUCGGCGGUUGGGGAUGGACUCGCGGCUUAUCAGCUUGUUGGUGGGGUAGUGGCUUACCAAGGCUUUGACGGGUAGCCGGCCUGAGAGGGUGACCGGCCACAUUGGGACUGAGAUACGGCCCAGACUCCUACGGGAGGCAGCAGUGGGGAAUAUCGCACAAUGGGCGGAAGCCUGAUGCAGAAACGCCGCGUGCGGGAUGACGGCCUUCGGGUUGUAAACCGCUUUCGCCUGUGACGAAGCGUGAGUGACGGUAAUGGGUAAAGAAGCACCGGCUAACUACGUG